rnacentral:rRNA from 1 species
UACGUAGGGUGCAAGCGUUGUCCGGAAUUAUUGGGCGUAAAGAGCUCGUAGGCGGUCUGUCGCGUCUGCUGUGAAAACUCAGGGCUUAACUCUGAGCUUGCAGUGGGUACGGGCAGACUAGAGUGCGGUAGGGGAGACUGGAAUUCCUGGUGUAGCGGUGAAAUGCGCAGAUAUCAGGAGGAACACCGGUGGCGAAGGCGGGUCUCUGGGCCGUAACUGACGCUGGAGGAGCG